rnacentral:rRNA from 1 species
GACGAACGCUGGCGGCGUGCUUAACACAUGCAAGUCGAACGGAAAGGCCCUGCUUGCAGGGUACUCGAGUGGCGAACGGGUGAGUAACACGUGGGUGAUCUGCCCUGCACUUCGGGAUAAGCCUGGGAAACUGGGUCUAAUACCGGAUAGGAGCCAUUUUUAGUGUGAUGGUUGGAAAGUUUUUUCGGUGUAGGAUGAGCUCGCGGCCUAUCAGCUUGUUGGUGGGGUAAUGGCCUACCAAGGCGGCGACGGGUAGCCGGCCUGAGAGGGUGGACGGCCACAGUGGGACUGAGAGACGGCCCAGACUCCGACGGGAGGCAGCAGUGGGGAAGAUUGCACAAUGGGCGCAAGCCUGAUGCAGCGACGCCGCGUGGGGGAUGACGGCCUUCGGGUUGUAAACUCCUUUCGCUAGGGACGAAGCUUUUUGUGACGGUACCUAGAUAAGAAGCACCGGCUAACUACGUG